UUGACCUCGGAUCAGGUAGGAAUACCCGCUGAACUUAAGCAUAUCAAUAAGCGGAGGAAUCU
rnacentral:rRNA from 1 species